GACGAACGCUGGCGGCGUGCUUAACACAUGCAAGUCGAACGGUAAGGCCCUUUCGGGGGUACACGAGUGGCGAACGGGUGAGUAACACGUGGGUGACCUGCCUCAAGCUCUGGGAUAAGCCUGGGAAACUGGGUCUAAUACCGGAUAUGACCUGUGAUCGCAUGGUUGUGGGUGGAAAGUUUUUCGGCUUGGGAUGGGCCCGCGGCCUAUCAGCUUGUUGGUGGGGUGAUGGCCUACCAAGGCUUCGACGGGUAGCCGGCCUGAGAGGGCGUCCGGCCACACUGGGACUGAGACACGGCCCAGACUCCUACGGGAGGCAGCAGUGGGGAAUAUUGCGCAAUGGGCGGAAGCCUGACGCAGCGACGCCGCGUGGGGGAUGACGGCCUUCGGGUUGUAAACCUCUUUCGACCUCUACGAAGAGUGAUUGACGGUAGGGGUGGAAGAAGCACCGGCCAACUACGUGCCAGCAGCCGCUGUAACAC
rnacentral:rRNA from 1 species